ensembl:lncRNA
CAGGAAGCAAGGAGGAGUUAUGUAGUGCACCCAGGAUGCUCAGCUAGAUAAUGCUCAGUGAUUAGCAGAGACUGAUGACACUGUCAGAUGAAGAAGGGUUAAAGCAAUUAUCAUGAUGGUAGAAUCCAGUGAGAGCCUGGGAGGCGGAAGUGUGUGGAGGAGACACAUGAGAGAUGGAAAGGAGAUGUAACCAGGUCCAGAGUGGAUGAUGCCCAUGGAGGAUCAGGAACUUGGGCUGUCAUUACCCCAAAAGAUCACCCCGUGGGUGAACCAAGGCUGAUGGAAACCCAGUGGGCUCUGCACAGCCACCCUAGGAAACAGCGGUGGUUUCGGUCCCAUUUUCACAGGUAUGGAAAUGGCUUCGUGACUUGCCCAAGCUGCCAGGAGUUCACAGGCUCCUGCAUGUCAGCAUUUCAGGUAACAGAGUCCAGGAGGCUUGGCCUCAGGCUGCUGGAAGGCCAGGACAAUCAGAG